rnacentral:rRNA from 1 species
ACUCCUACGGGAGGCAGCAGUGGGGAAUCUUGCGCAAUGGGGGAAACCCUGACGCAGCAACGCCGCGUGGGUGAUGAAGGCCUUCGGGUCGUAAAGCCCUGUCAGGUGGGAAGAAACCCAUCGGUGCAAACAGCAUCGGUGAUUGACGGUACCACCGGAGGAAGCACCGGCUAACUCCGUGCCAGCAGCCGCGGUAAUACGGAGGGUGCAAGCGUUGUUCGGAAUUACUGGGCGUAAAGCGCGUGUAGGCGGUCGGGUAAGUCAGAUGUGAAAGCCCCCGGCUUAACCGGGGAACUGCAUUUGAAACUGCCUGGCUCGAGUUCGGGAGAGGAGAGUGGAAUUCCUGGUGUAGAGGUGAAAUUCGUAGAUAUCAGGAGGAACACCGGUGGCGAAGGCGGCUCUCUGGUCCGAUACUGACGCUGAGACGCGAAAGCGUGGGGAGCAAACAGGAUUAGAUACCCUGGUAGUCCACGCCGUAAACGAUGGGCACUAGGUGUGGGAGGUAUUGACCCCUUCCGUGCCGAAGCUAACGCAUUAAGUGCCUCGCCUGGG